rnacentral:rRNA from 1 species
CUACCACAUCCAAGGAAGGCAGCAGGCGCGCAAAUUACCCACUCCCGGAACGGGGAGGUAGUGACGAAAAAUAACAAUACGGGACUCUUUUGAGACCCCGUAAUUGGAAUGAGUACACUCUAACUCCUUUAACGAGGAUCAAUCGAAGGGAAAGUCUGGUGCCAGCAGCUGCGGUAACUCCAGCUUCGAUAGCGUAUAUUAAAGUUGUUGCGGUUAAAAAGCUCGUAGUUGGAUCUCAGUUCCAGACGGGAGGUCCGCCUACCGGUGGUUACUUCCCGCUCUGAACGCAUUGACGCCGGUUUCUCUUGAUGAUCUUCACCGGUUGUCUUGGGUGACCGGCAAGUUUACUUUGAAAAAAUUAGAGUGCUCAAAGCAGGCUAAAAUGCCGGGACAAUGGUGCAUGGAAUAAUGGAAUAGGACCUCGUUUCUAUUUUGUUGGUUUUCGGAACACGAGGUAAUGAUUAAGAGGGACAGACGGGGACAUUCGUAUUGUCGCGCUAGAGGUGAAAUUCUUGGACCGCAGCAAGACGCACAACUGCGAAAGCAUUUGUCAAGAAUGUUUCCAUUAAUCAAGAACGAAAGUUAGAGGAUCGAAGGCGAUCAGAUACCGCCCUAGUUCUAACCAUAAACGAUGCCAGCUAGCGAUCCAGCUGUGUUCCUCAAAUGACACGCUGGGCAGCUUCCGGGAAACCAAAGCUUUUGGGUUCCGGGGGAAGUAUGGUU